UGGGGAAUCUUGCACAAUGGGCGAAAGCCUGAUGCAGCAACGCCGCGUGCGGGAAGACAGCCCUAGGGUUGUAAACCGCUUUCAGCAGGGAAGAAACUGACGGUACCUGCAGAAGAAGAUGCGGCCAACUACGUGCCAGCAGCCGCGGUGACACGUAGGCAUCAAGCGUUAUCCGGAUUUAUUGGGCGUAAAGAGCUCGUAGGCGGUUCGGUAAGUCGGGUGUGAAAACUCUGGGCUCAACCCAGAGAGGCCACUCGAUACUGCUGUGACUAGAGUGCGGUAGGGGAGCGGGGAAUUCCUGGUGUAGCGGUGAAAUGCGCAGAUAUCAGGAGGAACACCAGUGGCGAAGGCGCCGCUCUGGGCCGUAACUGACGCUGAGGAGCGAAAGCAUGGGUAGCAAACAGGAUUAGAUACCCUGGUAGUCCAUGCCGUAAACGAUGAAUGCCAGUCGUCGGGUAGCAUGCUAUUCGGUGACACACCUAACGGAUUAAGCAUUCCGCCUGGGAGUACGGUCGCAAGA
rnacentral:rRNA from 1 species